UCUUAAGAGACAUAAAAUAGAAGCAGCUUUAGCAACUUCAAAUUCUAAGCCUGUUCAUUCGCAAAAUGUGGACCUUAUUGAAACAUCUGUGGUAACUCCCAUUGCAUGAACCAAGUCAUGUGGUCCAAAAAAGAUGGUUGUGUCAAUAACGGAUGCAAUAGAAAAUCAUCCUUUAAAAAAUAGCAUCAUUAUUGAGGCACAAAAAGCUGUAAUGGAUGAUCGCUUGCAUUGUCUUCUUGUCAAAGUAGCAUGCUCUUACUUAAUUGAU